ACUUCUCCAGCCCGUGUAUAUCCCAUCACGGUCAUCCAUCCUCUAGCAUAUACUGAAGGUGGCAACGGAGUCAUCCUAGCGGGGCCAUGGAGGGUCGGUGCAGUGGCGAGACGGUGCGGUCCAGGCAGACCCGCAAUGGCGAGGAAGACGAUAUGGGUCACCGAGGUACUCUGGCCAGGCAUCGACGGGCUCUACCCUGCAAACAAAAGUGUUAAUCCUAAAUUUUGGCGAGUGAGGAAAGGGCCUGCUUCACAGAAGGAGAGGCGGCCGGAUGAGCAGAUCGACUAAAUGAAGUGCAAUGAAAUUAGUCGAUCAGAAGGGUGUCGGAACAAGGCAA
rnacentral:lncRNA from 1 species